UGGGGAAUAUUGGACAAUGGGGGCAACCCUGAUCCAGCCAUGCCGCGUGAGUGAUGAAGGCCUUCGGGUUGUAAAGCUCUUUUGGCGGGGACGAUGAUGACGGUACCCGCAGAAUAAGCCCCGGCUAACUUCGUGCCAGCAGCCGCGGUAAGACGAAGGGGGCUAGCGUUGUUCGGAAUUACUGGGCGUAAAGCGAGUGUAGGCGGUUGCCGUAGUCAGGUGUGAAAGCCUUGAGCUCAACUCAAGAAAUGCACUUGAUACUGGGUGACUAGAGGACCGGAGAGGAUAGUGGAAUUCCCAGUGUAGUGGUGAAAUACGUAGAGAUUGGGAAGAACACCAGUGGCGAAGGCGGCUAUCUGGACGGUUACUGACGCUAAGACUCGAAAGCGUGGGGAGCAAACAGGAUUAGAUACCCUGGUAGUCCACACCGUAAACGAUGGGUGCUAGACGUUGGCGAGCUUGCUCGUCAGUGUCGCAGCUAACGCGUUAAGCACCCCGCCUGGGGAGUACGGCCGCAA
rnacentral:rRNA from 1 species